GGACGCAAGUCUGACCCAUGCAUGCCGCGUGCAGGAUGACGGACCUACGGUUUGUAACUGCUUUUGUACGGGAAAAAACCCCUGAUUUCGUAUCAGGGCUGAUGGUACCGUAAGAAUAAGGAUCGGCUAACUCCGUGCCAGCAGCCGCGGUAAUACGGAGGAUCCAAGCGUUAUCCGGAUUCAUUGGGUUUAAAGGGUGCGAAGGCGGACUUGUAAGUCAGUGGUGAAAUCCUACGGCUCAACUGUAGAACUGCCAUUGAUACUGCAAGCCUUGAGUAUACUUGAAGUGGUGGAAUGUAUCAUGUAGCGGUGAAAUGCUUAGUAUGAUACAGAACACCGAUUGCGAAGGCAGGUCACUAAGUUAUAACUGACGCUCAUGCACGAAAGCGUGGGGAUCAAACAGGAUUAGAUACCCUGGUAGUCCACGCCCUAAACGAUGAUUACUCGAUGUUGGCGAUAUACAGUCAGCGUCUGAGCGAAAGCAUUAAGUAAUCCACCUGGGGGAGUACGAUCGCAAGGUUGAAACUCAAAGGAAUUGACGGGGGCCCGCACAAGCGGAGGAGCAUGUGGUUUAUUCGAUGAUACGCGAGGAACCUUACCCAGGCUUAAAUGUGAGAUGCCCGUCCGGGAAACCGGACUUUUCUUCGGAACGUCUUACAAGGUGCUGCAUGGCUGUCGUCAGCUCGUGCCGUGAGGUGUCAGGUUAAGUCCUAUAACGAGCGCAACCCCUAUCUUUAGUUGCCAUCAGGUAAUGCUGGGAACUCUAAAGAAACUGCCUACGCAAGUAGUGAGGAAGGUGGGGAUGACGUCAAGUCAGCACGGCCCUUACGUCUGGGGCUACACACGUGCUACAAUGACCGGUACAGAGGGCAGCUACCAGGUGACUGGAUGCUAAUCUCCAAAACCGGCCUCAGUUCGGAUCGAAGUCUGCAACUCGACUUCGUGAAGUUGGAUUCGCUAGUAAUCGCACAUCAGCAAUGGUGCGGUGAAUACGU
rnacentral:rRNA from 1 species